ACAGGUCCUCGGGAUGUGACAAUGGCGCAGGUGAAUCAGCGUACAAACUGCCCUCUCAGGGGGAAGUCCUGGAUCGGUGAAAAUCCCCAUACAAUUCUAGAUGGCAUCAUAUAGAGUAAAGCCUCGGCGGAUGAAGAUGAGUGUGCGUCUGAUUAGCUAGAUGGUGAGGUAACGGCUCACAUGGCGACGAUCAGUAGGGGGCGUGAGAGCGUGAUCCCCCACACGGGUACUGAGACACGGACCCGGCUCCUACGGGAGGCAGCAGUAAGGAAUAUUGGGCAAUGGACGGAAGUCUGACCCAGCCAUGCCGCGUGCGGGAAGAAGGCCCUUUGGGUUGUAAACCGCUUUUAUUUAGGAAGAAUGGCCUUGAUUUAUCAGGGAAGAGACGGUACUAGAUGAAUAAGCACCGGCUAACUCCGUGCCAGCAGCCGCGGUAAUACGGAGGGUGCAAGCGUUAUCCGGAAUCACUGGGUUUAAAGGGUACGUAGGCGGUUCAGUAAGUCAGAUGUGAAAUGUCGGUGCUCAACUCUCGAACUUGCAUUUGAAACUGUUGAACUUUGAAUUAGGUGGAAGUGUGCGGAAUGUAUCAUGUAGCGGUGAAAUGCAUAGAUAUGAUAUAGAACACCAAUAGCGAAGGCAGCACACUACGCUUUGAUUGACGCUGAGGUACGA
rnacentral:rRNA from 1 species